rnacentral:tRNA from 1 species
UGCUAAGGAAGGGAUUUAAACCCAUAUUUAAGCGUUU